AUUGAACGCUGGCGGCAGGCUUAACACAUGCAAGUCGAGCGAGCGGCGGACGGGUGAGUAAUGUCUGGGAAACUGCCUGAUGGAGGGGGAUAACUACUGGAAACGGUAGCUAAUACCGCAUACCAUCAGAUGUGCCCAGAUGGGAUUAGCUAGUAGGUGGGGUAAUGGCUCAACUAGGCGACGAUCCCUAGCUGGUCUGGGAGGAUGACAAGCCAGACUGGAAAUGAGACACGGUCCAUGAUCGUACGGGAGGCAGCAGUGGGGAAUGUGGCACAAUGGGCGCAAGCCUGAUGCAGCCCUGCCGCAUGUGUGAAGAAGGCCUUCGGGUUGUGGAGCCCUUUCAGCGAGUAGGCGUGACUCGCAGAAGAAGCACCGGCUAACUCCGUGCCAGCAGCCGCGGUAAUAC
rnacentral:rRNA from 1 species